ACUCAAAGGAAUAGACGGGGGCCCGCACAAGCAGUGGAGCAUGUGGUUUAAUUCGAUGCAACGCGAAGAACCUUACCCAGGCUCGAAAUGCAGGUGGCGACAUCAGAGAUGAUGUUUUCCGUAAGGACGCCUGUAUAGGUGCUGCAUGGCUGUCGUCAGCUCGUGCCGUGAGGUGUUGGGUUAAGUCCCGCAACGAGCGCAACCCUUAUCAUUAGUUGCCAACACGCAAGGUGGGGACUCUAAUGAGACUGCCUAGGUUAACUAGGAGGAAGGUGAGGAUGACGUCAAGUCCGCAUGGCCUUUAUGUCUGGGGCUACACACGUGCUACAAUGGUCGGUACAGAAGGCAGCAAGACCGCAAGGUGGAGCAAAUCCGUAAAACCGAUCUCAGUUCAGAUUGUAGUCUGCAACUCGACUACAUGAAGCUGGAAUUGCUAGUAAUGACGUGUCAGCAACAACGUCGUGAAUACGUUCCCGGGCCUUGUACACACCGCCCGU
rnacentral:rRNA from 1 species